ensembl:lncRNA
GAUCUCCUGGAGGCCACUCCUUAAACACGUCAGUGCUCCAUUUUAAAGCAGAGAGUCGAGGAUCAAGGAUUGUCAGAAAACAGAAUGCAACCUACAAUGAACCAGCCAGACACCAAAUGUGUCUUGGCAAUAUUUGUGGCUGCGUCGAGUACUCUUUGUGUAGCAGCAUGCCCAGAGAACCAUUUCCAAGUUCAAAAAAUGCUGUGCUGCUUGAACUGCCAAUAUGGUGAGUAUGUUGCCCGCAACUGCUCUGAAGGGCCCAGAGGCCACAUUGGUGUGCUAUGUAAUACAUGCCGCAGAUGUGAAGAAAUUGGAGAGGUAACUGUUUCCAAUUGCACACAGUUUUCAGACACACAGUGUGCCAGCAUACACACGCAACAGAUAACCAUGCAUGGUUGCUCGUCUGUGAUAGCCGCUGUUGUCAUUCUGGGUGUGAUUCUGGCAGCCUGCUUCUUUCGCAGAAUCAGUAAAUCUGGUGAAUCUGAUGGAGGCUCUGCAGGAGAACCAUUCCCUAUAUCCGUAUAAAAGAUCCAGAGAGUCUGAAGAAAAUCUUAACUCAGGAUAAAAGGCCAACAUCAAAUACUGUAUAUUAUCAUUCAAAGGGUGAUUAAAAUUAGAAAUACUGCAGUACAUUUUUUAUAUUAUACAAUAUUUGUAAUAUUUAAAAAAAAAAAGUAAUACAUUUUUACAUUUUAUUUUAAGGACCAAUUCUAAAUGUUAACUAACUAUUCAAGUCAAAUCACCUUUAUUUAUAUAGUGCUUUAUACAAUACAGAUUGUGUCAAAGUAGCUUUACAGCUAAACAGGAAAAAAAGUGUAAUGCAAACAAGAUUCAAUACUGCUAUAAAGCAGAUCUAAAACGAGGACAAUAGUAAACAGUAUUAAACUAUUAACUAUUAUUUUUUAUUUAUUUUUAUUUUAUUGUAUUUUUUAUUUAAUUUUUUUUAUUUAUUUAUUUUUUUUGCCUCAAUGUACUCCUAAUUUGCUGCUAGUUCGUAAGGUAGUAAAGUUUUUGUAUAGGGUAGAAUUAAGUGAUCUAAAAUUUUGACAUGCAGAAUAAUGCACUAAUAUGUGCAUUAAGUAGUAAUAAACAUCUGAUAUGCAUGCUAAUAAACA